rnacentral:rRNA from 1 species
GAUGAACGCUGGCGGCGUGCCUAAUACAUGCAAGUCGAACGCUGAAGGAAGGAGCUUGCUCUUUCCGGAUGAGUUGCGAACGGGUGAGUAACGCGUAGGUAACCUGCCUGGUAGCGGGGGAUAACUAUUGGAAACGAUAGCUAAUACCGCAUAACAGUAGAUGUUGCAUGAUAUCUACUUAAAAGGUGCAAUUGCACCACUACCAGAUGGACCUGCGUUGUAUUAGCUAGUUGGUGAGGUAACGGCUCACCAAGGCGACGAUACAUAGCCGACCUGAGAGGGUGAUCGGCCACACUGGGACUGAGACACGGCCCAGACUCCUACGGGAGGAAGCAGUAGGGAAUCUUCGGCAAUGGACGGAAGUCUGACCGAGCAACGCCGCGUGAGUGAAGAAGGUUUUCGGAUCGUAAAGCUCUGUUGUAAGAGAAGAACGAGUGUGAGAGUGGAAAGUUCACACUGUGACGGUAUCUUACCAGAAAGGGACGGCUAACUACGUG